GCGCACGCUGGCGGCAGGCCUAACACAUGCCAGUCGAACGAACUCUUCGGAGUUAGUGGCGGACGGGUGAGUAACACGUGGGAACGUGCCUUUUGGUUCGGAAUAACUCAGGGAAACUUGUGCUAAUACCGAAUGUGCCCUUCGGGGGAAAGAUUUAUCGCCAUUAGGGCGGCCCGCGUCUGAUUAGCUAGUUGGUGAGGUAACGGCUCACCAAGGCGACGAUCAGUAGCUGGUCUGAGAGGAUGACCAGCCACACUGGGACUGAGACACGGCCCAGACUCCUACGGGAGGCAGCAGUGGGGAAUCUUGCGCAAUGGGCGAAAGCCUGACGCAGCCAUGCCGCGUGAAUGAUGAAGGUCUUAGGAUUGUAAAAUUCUUUCACCGGGGACGAUAAUGACGGUACCCGGAGAAGAAGCCCCGGCUAACUUCGUG
rnacentral:rRNA from 1 species